rnacentral:misc_RNA from 1 species
GUGAAUCAUCAAAUUUUUGAACGCAAAUUGCACUCUCUUCGGAGAGUAUGCCUGUUUGAGGGUCAGUGUUAAUAAAAAUCGGUGGGUUUCUUCUGUGUGACGCGCCGGAGUUUGGGUCAUCUUAUUAUACUUUAGUUUUUAAGAGUCUUAAAAUGUACUUUUGUUGCUCAGUGUAGAUGUACAUAAAUUCUGUUUUUUAUUCGUCUGUCUUAAUGCUCAAAAUCCUAUUAGAUUCGACCAUGUCGUGGGGUUGCGUGUCUAUAAAUUUUUCAUGAUU